rnacentral:rRNA from 1 species
UACGAAGGGGGGCUAGCGUUGCUCGGAAUCACUGGGCGUAAAGGGGUGCCGUAGGCGGGAUCUUAAGUCAGAGGUGAAAGCCUGGAGCUCAACUCCAGAACUGCCUUUGAUACUGGGAUUCUUGAGUUCGGGAGAGGUGAGCGGAACUGCGAGUGUAGAGGUGAAAUUCGUAGAUAUUCGGAAGAACACCAGUGGCGAAGGCGACUUACUGGACACAUAUUGACGCUGAGGUGCGAAAGCGUGGGGAGCAAACAGG